AUUAUCAGACUUGUCACAAGGUUGUUCUAACAAGUCUAAUACAGUCAUGAUAUAACAAGAAUGGUACAAGGUUGGCGACACAAGGUUGUAACAAUACUGCUAUAUCAUGACUGUAUCGGACUUGUUGGAACAGCCUUGUAACAAGCCUGAUAAU
rnacentral:miRNA from 1 species